rnacentral:rRNA from 1 species
GACGAACGCUGGCGGCGUGCUUAAUACAUGCAAGUCGAGCGGACAGGCCUAGCAGUUGUGGGGUGCUAGAGUGGCGAGGAGAGGGGUAACACGUGAGGAGCGUGACCUGGACUGAGGGAUAACCUUAGGAAAGUGGGGCUAAUACCGGAAAGGAGUUCCAGCUGCAAGGUGGGGGGAGGAAAGGUUCGGCGGUUGGGGAUGGACUCGAGGCUUAUCAGCUUGUUGGUGGGGUAGUGGCUUACCAAGGCUGUGACGGGUAGCCGGCCUUAGGGGUUGACCGCCCCCCUUGGGCCUGAGAUACGGCCCAGACGCCUACGGUCGGCAGCAGUGGGGAAUAUUGCACAAUGGGCGGAAGCCUGAUGCAGCAACUCUGCGUGCGUGAUGACGGCCUGCGGGUUGUGAACCGCUUUCGCCUGUGCCGAAGCGUGAGUGACGGUAAUGGGUAAGGAAGCACCGGCUAACUACGUG